UACGGGGGGGGCAAGCGUUGUUCGGAAUUACUGGGCGUAAAGGGCUCGUAGGCGGCCAACUAAGUCGAACGUGAAAUCCCUCAGCUUAACUGGGGAACUGCGUCCGAUACUGAUUGGCUUGAAUCCGGAAGAGGGAUGCGGAAUUCCAGGUGUAGCGGUGAAAUGCGUAGAUAUCUGGAGGAACACCGGUGGCGAAGGCGGCAUCCUGGGUCGGUAUUGACGCUGAGGCACGAAAGCGUGGGGAGCGAUCCGG
rnacentral:rRNA from 1 species